CCAAUGGCUGGUUAACAUCUCUCCGUUGAAUUUUAACAAGAAACAUCUUUUUGACACAGCAAGAAGAGCAAAGUCCCUUUGGAGCAGGGAGGCCAGGCUCAGAGGAGCCGCCAGGCACAUGAAAGGGAGCCCUAGGGAGUCACCUAAGGCUCUGAGCAAGAGAUGACAAGCUGGAGACCGGCAUCCCCUUUAAAGGGACCAACCCAGAGUGCUGUUCCAUCUUGAAGAUUCCAGCCCACAGAGUUGAAGGUAGGGAGGAGAUGGAUGCUCUGAUCCUGCAUUAAUAGAUUCCUAAGCUCCAAGGGACCUGGAGGGUGCCUGGCAGGCACUGAGCAAACCCAGCCGGCUUGGCUGUCGCCGCCUCCAGCCGCCCACCUGGACUCCGCCAGCCUGCCGGCUGUGGACUUUGCUGAGUCACUAACAGUGAUUUCCCUCAGCAUCCAAAGGAGUUGUGACAUCCCCCCUCAGAAACAGAGCAUCAACUGCACAAUUGUGUGAGCCCCUGCAGCAGAGGUGGCCAGUGGUCCCACCAUCCAGCUGUCCCAUGCAGAGCAUAAGGCUGUGGUCAGGAAGCAGCCGUCCACCCAGGAAGGCCAUUCCCACCCAGCCCCUGCCGUCAGCCUGGGGCCUAUGACUAGUUCUCACCAGGAGAGCGAGAACAGACUCAGUGCAUGUCACUUCUGCACUAAGGUUGUCAGAGAAGACCCUGCAGUCCCACCUGGAGGAAGCUGCCCACCAGUGGGGUGUCCACUAUCACUCAUGUGGGACUUCACAUGAUUGAAGAGUAA